CCUACGGGAGGCUGCAGUGGGGAAUAUUGCGCAAUGGGCGAAAGCCUGACGCAGCGACGCCGCGUGCGGGAUGAAGGCCUUCGGGUCGUAAACCGCUGUCGCGAGGGACGAAACAAAUGACGGUACCUCGAAAGGAAGCACCGGCUAACUCUGUGCCAGCAGCCGCGGUAAUACAGAGGGUGCGAGCGUUGUCCGGAAUUACUGGGCGUAAAGGGCGCGUAGGUGGCUUGAUAAGUAGGAGGUGAAAUCUCACGGCUCAACCGGGAGGCUGCCUUCUAGACUGUCAGGCUCGAGCAUGGUAGAGGCAGAUGGAAUUCCCGGUGUAGCGGUGGAAUGCGUAGAGAUCGGGAAGAACACCAGUGGCGAAGGCGGUCUGCUGGGCCAUAGCUGACACUGAGGCGCGACAGCGUGGGGAGCAAACAGGAUUAGAUACCCGGGUAGUC
rnacentral:rRNA from 1 species